rnacentral:rRNA from 1 species
UACGGAGGGUGCAAGCGUUAUCCGGAUUCACUGGGUUUAAAGGGUGCGUAGGAGGGCAGGUAAGUCAGUGGUGAAAUCCCCGAGCUUAACUUGGGAACUGCCGUUGAUACUAUCUGUCUUGAAUACCGUGGAGGUGAGCGGAAUAUGUCAUGUAGCGGUGAAAAUGCUUAGAUAUGACAUAGAAACACCAAUUGCGAAGGCAGCUCGCUACACGAAUAUUGACUCUGAGGCACGAAAAGCGUGGGGAUCAAAACAGG